CCAGCCCCUAACUCGGCCGGGCCUGCAGAUAGUGCCUCCGUUCGCCCUUCCAGUCAGCUGCGGCCUAACCACCUAACGACAGACAGGCUGAUUUCUAACAUCACAGGUUCGCGUCUAAGAAUGUCGACCCCGAACACAGAACAGGCGGGCCCAUAAGCCCACUGCUCUUUGCUGCGGUGCAGCACUCAGGAGACUGAUAUCGCUCAAGACAUCACCUGUUUAUCAAGUUAAAACUUACUGGAAAUGUUUACUCAUCCAGUGGGACACUCGUGGAGCAAGUUACCUGCAAUCCAAGGUUUCACUGCCUAAGAGGACACCGGGGGCCUGGCAGGCAACAGGGCCCUGGCCAUCAGCUCCAACAGGGCGCCCCGCUCAUGCACAGACCAGCUACAGUGCCCCAGAGAGAACCCCCGGGGUGGGCAGGACCGGGCGCUCCCAGACAGGCACUCACACAGUGCGCUAUCUCAGCCCAAGCCCCCUUCCCUGAACCUCAGAGCCUGAACUCCUCGGAAAGGUGUCUUCCACGGUUCGGCACUAAGGGGAAACAGCCACGUUGCCCCUUAAGAUCAGUGAAACUGCUCACACUCUUCAAACCAGAACUUCAGAGCGCUCACUCUGCCAGACCCGAGCUGCCCUCCGACGACAGAUAUUAAAACAGUAGAGGCAAAGCCCUUCGGAGCACACAGAGACAGAGAGGUGACGCGCGGUCCGGCCUUCGGGAUGAACUUCCAGGGUGAGAAGCAGCCACGGAGCCUGAGACCCCAGGGGGUGCGCUGAAUGGGCUGCGCUGCAGAAAGGAGGAGGGAAUCCCUCUUCAUCCGUCAGAGGCCAGAGACCUGCAUCAGCCACUCUCUACACACUAAAAUGCCACACUUCUCCGACACGUGGAUACAACCUAGGACGCCCCAGGGUGGCCACGCAGCCCUGGGAGGAGGAGAGCCCUUGGGACACUUGGGCAGGAAGGAUGAGCCCCCAUCACGUUCAGCGGGGAGAGACAUAGGGGCCCUGUGGUUAGUUAGCAAGCUUCAAGGAAAGAUAUUUGAACGCAGAUACUGGAAACAGAACUCCGAAGAGGCCGCAGUAUUUGUUUAGUGAAAUGUUAGGGAUGCGUGAGAGCCUCUGAGUGCUUGUUGGUUCAGAGCUCAGGGCUGAGAGUACGAGGCCGCAUCUGGAUGACGGAAGCUGCCUUCUCCCAAAACAGGGUCGCGGAGGACGAGUCCCGGUGCCUCCCGCUGGCAGGAUGAGGACUCAGAGCAAAGCCGCAGGCCAGGACAGCGUGCAGGUGCGCAGCUGCUGGGCAGGAGGCCUUCUCCAGGCCUUCUCCUGCCAGCGCUGAAGUCCUGGAGCUCAGGGAGAAGCUGCAGCAAGGCCCCUCUCCUCUGGCCCCAGGGUCCCCACCUGUGGACUCCGAGUCGGUCCUGCUCUUCCCAUUUGCAGAGGCAGAGCCUGAGUGAGCUGACAGCCAGGAGUGGGAAAGGCGGAGAGUCGGGGAGUGCAGUUGGGCUCCCUGGUGUCAGCACUGGGGUGACUCAGCCUGGCCCGCCAGGGGUGGCCGCCUGCAAUCCAGUCCGGCUCGCUGCCCUUCCCUCCGGCCAUGUGGUGCUGUUCGGGCAUUGCCUGAGUCACCCCUUAAUAAGAGCCGUUGCCUGGAGCACAGAGCCGUGUGCCUGGCUUUGCACCCUGGAAGCAAACCUGUCUGGAAGUUGGCAUGCCCAUGUGGAAAUAUGGACAGCAACUUUCCUGUGCCCGCCUCUUCCGAAGACCACAGGCGUCACCUUGCGGGGCCUCUGCUUCCAGGAAAGGGGUCGCUCACACACUCCAACCUGGGUGCCCUCCCCCCUGGCCCGCGUGCCCCUCCUCUGCACCCAGAGCUCGCCCUUCUCCCACUCAGACCAAACCCUCCCCACCAGGAGCCAGCGCUGGGCUUGUCCCACUCCCUUCCUGCUAAGAAACCUCCAAGAAUCCCCAUCAGCCCCAG
rnacentral:lncRNA from 1 species